rnacentral:rRNA from 1 species
GAUGAACGCUAGCGGCAGGCCUAAUACAUGCAAGUCGAACGGUGAUAGCAAUAUCAUAGUGGCGCACGGGUGCGUAACACGUAUGCAACCUACCUAUUAUUGGGGGAUAGCCUUUGGAAACGGAGAUUAAUACCGCAUAAUACGAUUGACUGGCAUCGGUUGAUUGUUAAAGCUUUGGCGAUAAUAGAUGGGCAUGCGUCCAAUUAGUUAGUUGGUUAGGUAACGGCUGACCAAGACGAUGAUUGGUAGGGGAUCUGAGAGGAUAAUCCCCCACACUGGCACUGAGAUACGGGCCAGACUCCUACGGGAGGCAGCAGUAGGGAAUAUUGGGCAAUGGGCGGAAGCCUGACCCAGCCAUGCCGCGUGCAGGAAGAAGGCGUUAUGCGUUGUAAACUGCUUUUUAUAGGAAGAAGGAUCCCUUGCGAGGGAAGGUGACGGUACUAUAAGAAUAAGCCACGGCUAACUACGUG